AUAUAAAUAAGCGGAGGAAAAGAAACUAACUAGGAUUCCCCCAGUAACGGCGAGUGAAGCGGGAAAAGCUCAAGCUUAAAAUCUCCAUUCCUAGAAUGGCGAAUUGUAGUCUAUGGAAGCUGUGGUCAGCAACGUUCUGUGAGCCAAGUCCCUUGGAAGAGGGUAGCAGAGAGGGUGAUACUCCCGUAUUCUGCUUGUAGAAUGGUUGUGUACGACCCGUGUUCCAAGAGUCGAGUUGCUUGGGAAUGCAGCUCAAAGGAGGUGGUAAAUCUCAUCGAAGGCUAAAUACUGGCUGAAUACCGAUAGCGAACAAGUACCGUGA
rnacentral:rRNA from 1 species